GGCCGUGGAGAGAGUCAGGAUGAAAGCAAUGAUGCAAAACAGUACAGGAGGUGAAGCAGCAACAGCAGUUUGUGUUUCUGAACCUUGUAUCAUUAGUGUCUAGCUUCUUCCUUCAUUCACUGAUACAACGCACAUGCAUAUUGCAACAAAUGAGAUUUUGGCAGAGUGCACAAAACUCCAACCACCUACCCUCUUGCUCCUGAC
rnacentral:lncRNA from 1 species